AUUGAACGCUGGCGGCAUGCUUUACACAUGCAAGUCGAACGGCAGCGCGGGCUUCGGCCUGGCGGCGAGUGGCGAACGGGUGAGUAAUGCAUCGGAACGUGCCCAGUAGUGGGUGAUAGCCCGGCGAAAGCCGGAUUAAUACCGCCUACGCCCUGAGGGUGAAAGCGGGGGACCGAAAGGCCUCGCGCUCUUGGAGCGGCCGAUGUCGGAUUAGCUAGUUGGUGGGGUAAAGGCUUACCUAGGCGCCGCUCCGUAGCUGGUCUGACAGGACGACCAGCCACAGUGGGCGUGAGACGCGCCCCAGCGCCCUAGGGGCGGAACAGGGGGGGAAUUUUGGAAAAUGGGGGGACCCUGAUCCAGCCAUGCCGCGUGCGGGAAGAAGGCCUUCGGGUUGUAAACCGCUUUUGUUCGGGAAGAAAUCCUCUGGGCUAAUACCCCGGGGGGAUGACGGUACCGGAAGAAUAAGCACCGGCUAACUACGUG
rnacentral:rRNA from 1 species